GGUGAACGCUGGCGGUAGGCCUAACACAUGCAAGUCGAACGGCAGCACAGGAGAGCUUGCUCUCUGGGUGGCGAGUGGCGGACGGGUGAGGAAUACAUCGGAAUCUACCCUGUCGUGGGGGAUAACGUAGGGAAACUUGCGCUAAUACCGCAUACGACCUAUGGGUGAAAGCAGGGGACCUUCGGGCCUUGCGCGAUGGAAUGAGCCGAUGUCGGAUUAGCUAGUUGGCGGGGUAAAGGCCCACCAAGGCGACGAUCCGUAGCUGGUCUGAGAGGAUGAUCAGCCACACUGGAACUGAGACACGGUCCAGACUCCUACGGGAGGCAGCAGUGGGGAAUAUUGGACAAUGGGCGCAAGCCUGAUCCAGCCAUACCGCGUGGGUGAAGAAGGCCUUCGGGUUGUAAAGCCCUUUUGUUGGGAAAGAAAUCCAGCUGGCUAAUACCCGGUUAGGAUGACGGUACCCAAAGAAUAAGCACCGGCUAACUUCGUGCCAGCAGCCGCCGUAA
rnacentral:rRNA from 1 species